rnacentral:rRNA from 1 species
CGAAUAACCACCGGCUAACUACGUGCCAGCACCCUCGGUAAUACUUAUGGGGCUAGCGUUAAUCUGAGUUACUGGGCGUAUAGCGUGCGCAAGCGGUUUUGUCAACCAGAUGUGAAAUCCCCGGGCUGAACCUGGGAAUGGCAUUUGAGACUGCUGGGCUUGAGUGUGGCAAAGGGAAAUGGAAUUCCUGGUGUAGCAGUGAAAUGCGUAAAUGUCACGAGGAAUACCGAUGGCGAAGGCAAGUCUCUGGACCAUGACUGACGCUCAUGAUCAAAUACCUGGGGAGCCAACACGAUUAAAUACCCUGGUAGUCCACGCCCUAAACUAUGUCUACUGGUUGUUGGG